GACGAACGCUGGCGGCGUGCUUAACACAUGCAAGUCGAACGGAAAGGCCCUGCUUUUGUGGGGUGCUCGAGUGGCGAACGGGUGAGUAAAACGUGAGUAACCUGCCCUUGAAUUUGGGAUAACUUCAGGAAACUGGGGCUAAUACCGGAUAGGAGCUCCUGCUGCAUGGGGGGGGUUGGAAAGUUUCGGCGGUUGGGGAUGGACUCGCGGCUUAUCAGCUUGUUGGUGGGGUAGUGGCUUACCAAGGCUUUGACGGGUAGCCGGCCUGAGAGGGUGACCGGCCACAUUGGGACUGAGAUACGGCCCAGACUCCUACGGGAGGCAGCAGUGGGGAAUAUUGCACAAUGGGCGGAAGCCUGAUGCAGCAACGCCGCGUGCGGGAUGACGGCCUUCGGGUUGUAAACCGCUUUCGCCUGUGACGAAGCGUGAGUGACGGUAAUGGGUAAAGAAGCACCGGCUAACUACGUG
rnacentral:rRNA from 1 species